rnacentral:rRNA from 1 species
GACGAACGCUGGCGGCGUGCUUAACACAUGCAAGUCGAACGGAAAGGCCCUGCUUUUGUGGGGUGCUCGAGUGGCGAACGGGUGAGUAACACGUGAGUAACCUGCCCUUGACUUUGGGAUAACUUCAGGAAACUGGGGCUAAUACCGGAUAGGAGCUCCUGCUGCAUGGUGGGGGUUGGAAAGUUUCGGCGGUUGGGGAUGGACUCGCGGCUUAUCAGCUUGUUGGUGGGGUAGUGGCUUACCAAGGCUUUGACGGGUAGCCGGCCUGAGAGGGUGACCGGCCACCUUGGGACUGAGAUACGGCCCAGACUCCUACGGGAGGCAGCAGUGAGGAAUAUUGCACAAUGGGCGGAAGCCUGAUGCAGCAACGCCGCGUGCGGGAUGACGGCCUUCGGGUUGUAAACCGCUUUCGACUGUGACGAAGCGUGAGUGACGGUAAUGGGUAAAGAAGCACCGGCUAACUACGUG